rnacentral:rRNA from 1 species
CCUANGGGAGGCAGCAGUGGGGAAUCUUGCGCAAUGGGCGAAAGCCUGACGCAGCAACGCCGCGUGCGGGAUGAAGGCCUUCGGGCUGUAAACCGCUUUCAGCAGGAACGAAAAUGACGGUACCUGCAGAAGAAGGAGCGGCCAACUACGUGCCAGCAGCCGCGGUGACACGUAGGCUCCAAGCGUUGUCCGGAUUUAUUGGGCGUAAAGAGCUCGUAGGCGGUUUAGUAAGUCGGGUGUGAAAACUCUGGGCUUAACCCAGAGACGCCAUCCGAUACUGCUGUGACUUGAGUUCAGGAGGGGAGCGGGGAAUUCCUAGUGUAGCGGUGAAAUGCGCAGAUAUUAGGAGGAACACCGGUGGCGAAGGCGCCGCUCUGGACUGAAACUGACGCUGAGGAGCGAAAGCAUGGGUAGCAAACAGGAUUAGAUACCCCGNUANUC